rnacentral:rRNA from 1 species
UACGGAGGAUGCGAGCGUUAUCCGGAUUUAUUGGGUUUAAAGGGUGCGCAGGCGGGCUGUUAAGCCGGCGGUAAAAAUUCAGGGCUCAACCCUGUCGAGCCGUCGGAACUGGCAGUCUUGAGUGGGCGAGAAGUAUGCGGAAUGCGUGGUGUAGCGGUGAAAUGCAUAGAUAUCGCGCAGAACUCCGAUUGCGAAGGCAGCGUACCGGCGCCAGACUGACGCUGAGGCACGAAAGCGUGGGGAUCGAACAGG